UUCCCCCAAAAUCCCCCCAAAAAUCCCCCAAAAUUCCCAAAAAUCCACAAAAAUCCCCCAAAAUUCCCCAAAAAUUCCCAAAAAAUCCCCCAAAAUUUACCAAAAUUCCCAAAAAUUCCCCAAAACCCCCCCAAAAUCCCCAAAAACCCCCCAAAAUCUCCCCAAAAUUCCCCAAAACCCCCCAAAAUCUCCCCAAAAUUCCCCUCCCCAGGUGCUGACGGUGGCGGCCACGGAGCCCCUGACCCUGGAGCACUCCAGACCCCCCCAAAAUUCCGGGACCCCCCAAAAUUCCGGGACCCCCCAAAAUUCCGGGGCCCCCCCGGAAGCUGGGAGGCCCCAAAACCCGGCCUGGAGCCCGAAUGCCGGGAAUUUGGAGGUGGAUUUUGGGAGGAUUUACGAAUUCCUGGCCAGGAUCGGAGCGGGGGGGGAGGGGCCCCCCCUGCCCCCCGCAGAGUCCGCCGUGCUUUUGGCCCUGCUGGGAUCGCUGCGGGCGCAGCUGGGAGCGCUGGGAGCACUGGGAGCACUGGGAUCGCUCCGGAAUCACUUCCGGGGGCUCUGGGGGUCCCUGCGGGGCCCCUGCCCCCCCCUCAACCCCUUCCUGCUGCCACUGGCCUUACUGGGAGCACUGGGACGGGGGGCCUGAGGGGGGGAGGGGCGCAAUUCACGGGGGGUUUGGGGGGGAAAAUCCCGGAGAGAAUUCCUGGGAAUCCUCGGGAAAAUUCCUGAAAAAAAUUCCCAAAAAAUUCCCCCAAAAUUUCCCAAAAAAUCCCCAAAAAACCCCAAAAAUUCACAGAAAAAAUUCCCCAAAAAUUCCAAAAAAAUUCCCAAAAAUUCCCUCAAAAAUUCCCCAAAAAAAUUCCCAUGGAAUCCCCGAAAUCCCGGGAAUUCACCCCAGAAAAAAUCCCGGGAAAAUUCUGCCCCCGGGGGGAGGGGAAAUUUUUAAGGGGAUGCGGGGAAUGUGGCGGUGA
rnacentral:lncRNA from 1 species